rnacentral:rRNA from 1 species
GAGAAGCUCUCGAUAGGUGACCUGCGGAGGGAUCAUU